rnacentral:misc_RNA from 1 species
AUGUCACUAUAGCUUUUCAAGUUAUAACAUAGAUUUAAGACAAGAAUAACCAAGUUCGAUCCUCACGCCCUGCCUGUGUUGCUCUUUUAUUUUAAUUUUGUUGUAGCUUUUUAUUGCUUGUUUAUUUAUUUAUUUUUUAUUUCAUUCUUUAUAUAUCUAUAUUUAUUUAUUUAUUUUAAUCUUUUUUUUUUUUUUUUUUUUUUUUUUUUUUUUUUUUUUUUUUUUUUUUUUUUUUUUUUUUUUUUUUCAUAGAUUUUAAAUAUAAAUAAAAUUUUAUUGUUUACACUACCUUAUUUAGCUAAAUUGCCACAGGAAAAUAGGUUAAGA